GAGGAUGAUCUGUAGAAUGGCGACCAAGCACUUCCUGGCUCGGCUGGUUUCCAAGGUCUGACAUUACCUCUUCAAUGAAGUGCUGACCUUUGACCUCUUGGAGAUGCACCUCUUUCCACUGAUUGAUGCUUCCUUCCUGGCUCGGUCACAUCAUGUGAGAUGGACAGCCAGCCCUUUGAAGCCCCACUGUAAUUAACCUUUGGAGGAGAAUAACAAACCAGUACACAGGGGCACUGUGGCCCAGCUCAGCUGCUUUGAUGUGGUUCC